UACGUAGGGUGCAAGCGUUAAUCGGAAUUACUGGGCGUAAAGCGUGCGCAGGCGGUUUGCUAAGACCGAUGUGAAAUCCCCGGGCUUAACCUGGGAACUGCAUUGGUGACUGGCAGGCUAGAGUAUGGCAGAGGGGGGUAGAAUUCCACGUGUAGCAGUGAAAUGCGUAGAGAUGUGGAGGAAUACCGAUGGCGAAGGCAGCCCCCUGGGCCAAUACUGACGCUCAUGCACGAAAGCGCGGGGAGCAAACAGG
rnacentral:rRNA from 1 species